AUUGAACGCUGGCGGCAGGCCUAACACAUGCAAGUCGAACGAGAGGCGGACGGGUGAGUAAUGUAUGGGAAAGGGCCCGAUGGGGGGGGAUAGCUAAUGGAAACGGUAGCUAAUAUCGCAUACCAUCGGAUGUGCCCAGGUGGGAUUAGCUAGUGGGUGGGGUAACGGCUUGCCUAGGCGACGAUCCCUAGCUGGUCUGAGAGGAUGAACAUCCACACUGGAACUGAGACACGGUCCAGACUCCUACGGGAGGCAGCAGUGGGGAAUAUUGCACAAUGGGCGAAAGCCUGAUCCAGCCAUGCCGCGUGUGUGAAGAAGGUCUUCGGGUUGUAAAGUACUUUCAGCUAGGAGGCGUUACCCACAGAAGAAGCACCGGCUAACUCCGUGCCAGCAGCCGCGGUAAUUC
rnacentral:rRNA from 1 species